rnacentral:rRNA from 1 species
AUUGAACGCUGGCGGCAUGCUUUACACAUGCAAGUCGAACGGUAACAGGCCUUCGGGCGCUGACGAGUGGCGAACGGGUGAGUAAUGCAUCGGAACGUGCCCAGUCGUGGGGGAUAACGCAGCGAAAGCUGUGCUAAUACCGCAUACGAUCUAUGGAUGAAAGCGGGGGACCGUAAGGCCUCGCGCGAUUGGAGCGGCCGAUGUCCGAUUAGGUAGUUGGUGGGGUAAAGGCUCACCAAGCCAACGAUCUGUAGCUGGUCUGAGAGGACGACCAGCCACACUGGAACGGAGACACGGUCCAGACUCCUACGGGAGGCAGCAGUGGGGAAUUUUGGACAAUGGGCGCAAGCCUGAUCCAGCAAUGCCGCGUGCAGGAAGAAGGCCUUCGGGUUGUAAACUGCUUUUGUACGGAACGAAACGGCGAGCUCUAAUACAGUUUGCUAAUGACGGUACCGUAAGAAUAAGCACCGGCUAACUACGUGCCAGCCGCCGCGGUAAUAC